AUACGGAAGGCAGCAGUGGGGAAUUUUGGACAAUGGGCGCAAGCCUGAUCCAGCAAUGCCGCGUGAGUGAAGAAGGCCUUCGGGUUGUAAAGCUCUUUUGUCAGGGAAGAAACGGAUUUUUCUAAUACAGAGAUCUAAUGACGGUACCUGAAGAAUAAGCACCGGCUAACUACGUGCCAGCAGCCGCGGUAAUACGUAGGGUGCAAGCGUUAAUCGGAAUUACUGGGCGUAAAGCGUGCGCAGGCGGUUUUGUAAGACUGUCGUGAAAUCCCCGGGCUCAACCUGGGAAUGGCGAUGGUGACUGCAAGGCUAGAGUUUGGCAGAGGGGGGUAGAAUUCCACGUGUAGCAGUGAAAUGCGUAGAUAUGUGGAGGAACACCGAUGGCGAAGGCAGCCCCCUGGGUCAAAACUGACGCUCAUGCACGAAAGCGUGGGGAGCAAACAGGAUUAGAUACCCCUGUAGUCCC
rnacentral:rRNA from 1 species